rnacentral:pre_miRNA from 1 species
AACAAACAAAUCUUUCACUUACAUAUAAUGAUGGACUCUUCGUCUUAUUCGAAAAAACUUUAUGAUUAACAUUUUUAUUUUUAUUGGAUGAUAAAUCAUAAAUAAUAUUUUACGUGUGACUAUUUUUUUAAUUUCUUAAAAAAAUUUCAAAUAAGACGGAUAGUCAGACACGGAAAUCGAAAGAUUGGUUUGUU